AUUUUGCUUUGCAUGUAAAUGCAACUAUAAUUCAUGAUGAUUAUAUAAUUAUUGAUAACCAUAUUCAGUUUGUUUCUGAAUUAUUUUUAAGUAGGCAUUUUAGUUACCACAGUAGCAAGUAACUUCUCAAAAUCACCUUAUUUUGAAUUAAUAUUGAUGGAUUAUGUACUGAUAUUAAUUAAUUCAAAUUAACAAUGGAAUAAGGAUGGAUAUUAUUUGAUUACAUUCAGGAAACAUUCAUUAAAAGUAUGUAUUAUGUUAAGCAUGUAUGUCAUGGUCUCUGACCUCAAGGAGUUUGCAGGUGACCAAACAGACACACACAUAAAUAAUAAUAUAGCACAGUGUAAUGAGUUCACUAGUCAACAUAGGCAUAAGGCACAGGAUUAGCACAACUAAGUAUCUUAGAGAACAGAAAUGACUUUGCAAAGGAAGUGAAUCUGAACUAUGCUUUUGAGCUAUCCAUCUAUUGAAUCUCGAAAUUAUAUUUCUUCUAUAGGGUAUUGUGAGGUGAGAGUUGAAGAGGAAGAACAAUUGUAAAGCAUAAUUUUCCAGGCAGUAUGAUACAUUCAGAACACUCUAUUUGCAAAGUGCUGAAGCAUAAAUCUGUAGGCAGGGCAAUAAAAAGAAUAACCCUUCAAGAUGAGAAGCAAGAUCUAGACCAGUGCUCUCCAAUAGAAAUAAAAUGCUAGUCACACAUGCAACUAUAAAUUUUCUAGUAGCUAGAUUUAAAAAAAGGGAAAUGGAAAAAUUUAAAUUAAUUUUUAUAUUUUAUUUAACUCAGUAUAUCAAAAAUACUACCAUUUCAACAUGCAACUCAUAUAAAUAAUAUUGAUGAGAUAUUUUAAUCUUUUUUUUUCACAUUUAGUCUCCAAAAUCCAGUUUGUAUGUUACAUUUACAGCACAUCUCAGUUUUAUGUCUUCAAUAACUCUAUGAGGUUAGGGGACCUCUGUGUUGGACAGUUCAGGGAUGAUGCAGACUAUGAAGAGCUUGAAUACCCUAUUGAGGAAUUUACUAUAUCCUAUAAAUCUUUGAUAAUAUGUAAAGUCUAUCCAUAUGAUGAAUGUCAUUUUGUCUAUUAGGUAUUGAAGAUAUUUAUGGGUAGCAAAAUAGUUAGCCAGGAGACAUGGGAACAUUUCUAUUCUUCUGUUGAACAAUUAUGUCUCUUCAGGAGGUCUUUAAGGAGUGAAUGAAAGACAAAGUCACCCUCAAUGAUGGACAGGAUAUUUACCCAAUUUCUCAUGGAUCUCUCCAGGGAGCUAGGUUGGACCUCAUGGAGAAUGCCAUUACCAAAGCCAAAUAAUUCUGAAUGGUCAAGAAGCAAAGCAGCCUCAAAGCCCAGUUUAGGUUUCUUUCCAAAGCUAAUACUUGGAUCUCACUACUCCACAAUGAGAAGAGAUAUGAGAGCAUACACAAUAAGAGAAACUGAAGGGUUAGUAUUUGUGGGAGGGAGGAGUGAGCUAUUUUCAGGUUAUCUUCAAGUUGCAAGUCUUUUGGGAAGAAUCUUCUUAAGUGGGAAAUAUUAAUAUCUUAAGUGAGAAAGAUACUAGAGUUUUCCCCCACCCCCAAUAUCUUACCACUUAAACUGCAUGUCCAGACUGCCCAACUUUUUUAUUCCUACUGUAUAGAGAAAAACAGUUCAAAGAACCACCCCUUAUAUUUGUCCACUCAAUACCUGGUACCAUGGCUUCUCCCACAGAGAAAGGAGUAAUUUUACCUAUUCUUUGGGAAGAAGUAAUGAGACCCCCAUGAGGGAUGUUUAAAUUCUAGCCUAGAUGACAAUAUGAGUUUUCAGAUGUAUUUAUAAAUGUUCAAAGAAUUUGAGAAUAUUUCUUGGCUUCAAUGGGCGAGAGAAGCAUUAUUAUUUUUCUAAAUUUUGCCUCACAAAUGGUGUAGCAUCCUGUUUGUGAGGUAGGAAGACUAUACAUCCUGUUUCACAUGUGAUAGUUCUAGUUCAUGCCUCCUCCACCCCCAGCAUCCUGUUUAAUCUUGCAUUUAUCACAUUUUAAAAAUGAAUAAGUUAUUAGUACUACUUGCAUUAAAAUAAGUCAGAAUGGAUUUAUUUUUGCAGUUUGUACUUCUGGCUUCUGUCAUGUUCUUAUCCAAUAGUGUAUUUGAGAUACAUACACAGCGAAUAGUCUCCCUUUAACAGGUCAUUAAACCUUAAAGAAAACCAGUGAUGACACACCUUUCCUAGUCGGCAGGUACUUGUUGACAAAACAGUGUGUAUUGACAGGAAAAGCUAGGGAGAGCUGUAUCUUUCUGGUUUUCACUAGUAUUGAAAAAGUAGUCCAUUCUGUUGCUGCUUCAAAGCAUUUGGCUGACUCUAGAGCCAGUUAGGUCAUGGCCUGGGUUGCUGGUUUCAUGAUGCAUGAAGUCUCUAUGGAAAAUGUGGGAAAUUGUAUAUUACUUGUCUGUGAAAUAUAUGUAGGAAAUAGAAGCUAAGUUGUUCUGCCACAAGACUCAUAGAGAAUAGUCUGAAAUCUCUUGUUACAUAUAGAAAAUUAACUAUUAUCUUUUUGAAAGAUACCCUUUAAGCAGCAAUGAGCUCAAAAAUGAAACUGGAUGUAUAAUAUAAGUACUACAUUUGCCUUUCUUAAGAGUGUUGAUGAUGGUAAAUUACAAAAACUGAUUUUCAACAUUUACCAUUUUUGAUGAGUGCUGUGGUGGUAUCACUGGAAACGAAAUGCAAGACACAAACCUGAUGAAGAAGUGUUUGCAUCUAUUUCAAAAGAAAUCGAUGAGCCUAUGCAUACGAAGAGUUCCUCAGCCCUGCUGCCUCAGCUCCAGUUGUUUCCCAUCAUAUCCCUGGUGUCAAUUUGCCAUCACUGCCUGAGAUGCAAAAGGCUUAUUCAGAUCCUUAUGAAAAUUUAAAUAUUGCUUGUUC